rnacentral:rRNA from 1 species
CAUCCCGACUUACCAACCCUUUGCAAACUCCGAAUACCAGUAAGUACUAUCCGGGAGACACACGGCGGGUGCUAACGUCCGUCGUGGAGAGGGAAACAACCCAGACCGCCAGCUAAGGUCCCAAAGUAUUGCUAAGUGGGAAACGAUGUGGGAAGGCUCAGACAGCUAGGAUGUUGGCUUAGAAGCAGCCAUCAUUUAAAGAAAGCGUAAUAGCUCACUAGUCGAGUCGGCCUGCGCGGAAGAUGUAACGGGGCUAAGCAAUACACCGAAGCUGCGGCAAUGUCUUUUAGACAUUGGGUAGGGGAGCGUUCUGUAAGCCGUUGAAGGUGAA